CUGGGCAUCGCUCCCGUGGGACGCAUCGGCGGCCGCCCGCAGAGCCCCAGGGAAAGGCCCACUCCCCUCGCGCAGGAGGCCGUGUCAAGGGCACGCGGAGGGGAGGGUCAGAGACCAGCCCCGGACGAGCAGGGGGUGGGCAGACCUGUGGACUCUUAAUUCCAGUUAGAACCUGGACUGUAAUUGCAGGGACCAGGGCUCUAGCAGCCAGGACCAAGGGCCAGGCUGGGAGGCUAGAGGCUACCCUGCCCCCCCCCCCAUCAUGGCUUAGAGAAGCCUAGAGAAGCCAUUGGGCCUUGGAUCAGGGAGGUGGGCCCAGGUGAGAAGCCUCUGCCAGCUUACUGUGUGCAGGAGUAGGACAUCAUGCCAAACCACUUUCCCAGGUACAGAGCCACCUGCAGAUCAGGAAACGACAAGUCCUUGCACCCUGGGGGCUACUGCGAACAGAGGAGAAGGCUGUGUGUCAGGACAAAGCUAUACAAGUGUCUGGAUAAACUGCCCUGUGACCGAGGUCCUUAAACCCAAGUCCAGGCUGCAUACAGAUGUGUACCUGUGACCUGCCUGACCUCUGAGAGGGGAAUCCCAGACCUUCCGGAAUUGGAGCUCACAAAACAAUGGAGCCAAGGUCACAGGAGCGAGUACUGCAGAGCUGGAAAUGGAGGACCCCGAGGACUACGUGGAUGAAGCAUCUCAAGUCAGAAACAAUCUCCUUCAUGCUCCCCUCAGGCUGGCACCACCUUGCCAGAGUGCGCAGCCACUUCCCCACCGUCAACCCUGCCUUAUGACCUUGAUGACCUUGGUCUCUGCCUGUUCUCCUGAAAACUCUACCUGCAGCCCUGCUCCGACACUCGCAUCACUCUUUGACUCCACACCCUGCCUCUGUGCUCCCCAAACUCAUCCUUUCCACCCCCUGCCUGAGAACUCCCACUCAUCCUUCAAGAGUCCUCUACAGCAGUCCCUCCUUCAUGAGGACUUCCUGGAUUUCCCUUCUCCAUCAGCUAGUCUUCCUAUGCUCAUGUGUUCAUCAUGCUGAUGUACUCCUGGGGACAGGAACUUGGGUCUCAUUUGCCCGGGAGUAUUCCUGGCAAUGGACACAAAGCUUCAACAUAUAUUGAUUGAAUCAGUGAGUGCAAGUUUAUCAACUGCAAACGCAAUCCCUGGAACAGGUCUGAUGUUUGCCUUUCUUGGUGGCCCUGGGAAUGUUCUUUGGACUGGGGCUUCUAGUGUAGGAAGCUUCCCUGGGCACGUCAGGUUUGGAAGGGAUAAAGGGAAACCCCCAACUUCACUAGAGUGCCCCUGUCUAGAGAUGCCUUAACUGGGACGGGAAGCUGGAGCUCUUGUUCCAAAAAGUCCCAUCAGUCACAUGCCACAGAUCACACAGUCAUUUCUUUGGGUGGUUCAGUCAAUCAAGCCUUCAGUUCUCACUGAAUGGAAGGCUCUGUGCUGGGGUCUCUGGUUACUUGAGUGUGUAAGGACUUUAGUUCUCCUGAAGGGAGAAGAGCAGGAAGGUGGGGACAGCCAGGGUGAAGGUGAUGGGCCCUGGGACGGCAGGAGGAGGA
ensembl:lncRNA